UACGGAGGGUGCAAGCGUUAAUCGGAAUUACUGGGCGUAAAGCGUGCGCAGGCGGUGAUGUAAGACAGAUGUGAAAUCCCCGGGCUCAACCUGGGAACUGCAUUUGAAACUGGCAAGCUUGAGUCUUGUAGAGGGGGGUAGAAUUCCAGGUGUAGCGGUGAAAUGCGUAGAGAUCUGGAGGAAUACCGGUGGCGAAGGCGGCCCCCUGGACAAAGACUGACGCUCAGGUGCGAAAGCGUGGGGAGCAAACAGG
rnacentral:rRNA from 1 species